UUGACAUUGUAUCGAAGCAUCCAGAGAUGGAUGUGUCUCUUCGGAGACGGUAUGACAGGUGCUGCAUGGCUGUCGUCAGCUCGCGCCGUGAGGUGUUGGGUUAAGUCCCAUAACGAGCGCCAACCCCUAUCUUUAGUUGCCAUCAGUUCGGCUGGGCACUCUAUGGAGACUGCCACCUAAAGUGGAGGAAGGUGGGGAUGACGUCAAGUCAGCAUGGCCCUUACGUCCGGGGCUACACACGUGCUACAAUGGCCGGUACAAAGGGUUGCGAAGCCGUGAGGUGGAGCGAAUCUCAAAAAGCCGGCCUCAGUUCGGAUUGGAGGCUGCAACUCGCCUCCAUGAAGUCGGAAUCGCUAGUAACCGCAGAUCAGCUACGUUGCGGUGAAUACGUUCCCGGGCCUU
rnacentral:rRNA from 1 species